rnacentral:rRNA from 1 species
UACGAAGGGGCUAGCGUUGCUCGGAAUCAGCUGGGCGUAAAGGGUGCGUAGGCGGGUCUUUUAAGUUAGGGGAUGAAAUCCUAGAGCUCAACUCCAGAACUGCCUUUGAUACUGCAAAUCUCGAGUCCGAUAGAGGUGGGUGGAAUUCCUAGUGUAGAGGUGAAAUUCGUAGAUAUUAGGAAGAACACCGGAUGGCGAAGGCGGGCCCAAGCUGGAUCCGGUACUGA